GGGGAUAAAAUUCAGUGGUAGAGUGUUUGCCUGGCAUGCAAGGCCCUGGGUUCAAUCCUCUGUAUCACAA
rfam:Ictidomys tridecemlineatus contig104363, whole genome shotgun sequence.